rnacentral:rRNA from 1 species
GGGCCUAAUACAUGCAAGUCGAGCGGACAGAUGGGAGCUUGCUCCCUGAUGUUAGCGGCGGACGGGUGAGUAACACGUGGGUAACCUGCCUGUAAGACUGGGAUAACUCCGGGAAACCGGGGCUAAUACCGGAUGGUUGUCUGAACCGCAUGGUUCAGACAUAAAAGGUGGCUUCGGCUACCACUUACAGAUGGACCCGCGGCGCAUUAGCUAGUUGGUGAGGUAACGGCUCACCAAGGCGACGAUGCGUAGCCGACCUGAGAGGGUGAUCGGCCACACUGGGACUGAGACACGGCCCAGACUCCUACGGGAGGCAGCAGUAGGGAAUCUUCCGCAAUGGACGAAAGUCUGACGGAGCAACGCCGCGUGAGUGAUGAAGGUUUUCGGAUCGUAAAGCUCUGUUGUUAGGGAAGAACAAGUGCCGUUCAAAUAGGGCGGCACCUUGACGGUACCUAACCAGAAAGCCACGGCUAACUACGUGCCAGCAGCCGCGGUAAUACGUAGGUGGCAAGCGUUGUCCGGAAUUAUUGGGCGUAAAGGGCUCGCAGGCGGUUUCUUAAGUCUGAUGUGAAAGCCCCCGGCUCAACCGGGGAGGGUCAUUGGAAACUGGGGAACUUGAGUGCAGAAGAGGAGAGUGGAAUUCCACGUGUAGCGGUGAAAUGCGUAGAGAUGUGGAGGAACACCAGUGGCGAAGGCGACUCUCUGGUCUGUAACUGACGCUGAGGAGCGAAAGCGUGGGGAGCGAACAGGAUUAGAUACCCUGGUAGUCCACGCCGUAAACGAUGAGUGCUAAGUGUUAGGGGGUUUCCGCCCCUUAGUGCUGCAGCUAACGCAUUAAGCACUCCGCCUGGGGAGUACGGUCGCAAGACUGAAACUCAAAGGAAUUGACGGGGGCCCGCACAAGCGGUGGAGCAUGUGGUUUAAUUCGAAGCAACGCGAAGAACCUUACCAGGUCUUGACAUCCUCUGACAAUCCUAGAGAUAGGACGUCCCCUUCGGGGGCAGAGUGACAGGUGGUGCAUGGUUGUCGUCAGCUCGUGUCGUGAGAUGUUGGGUUAAGUCCCGCAACGAGCGCAACCCUUGAUCUUAGUUGCCAGCAUUCAGUUGGGCACUCUAAGGUGACUGCCGGUGACAAACCGGAGGAAGGUGGGGAUGACGUCAAAUCAUCAUGCCCCUUAUGACCUGGGCUACACACGUGCUACAAUGGACAGAACAAAGGGCAGCGAAACCGCGAGGUUAAGCCAAUCCC